rnacentral:rRNA from 1 species
CCUACGGGAGGCAGCAGUAGGGAAUAUUGCUCAAUGGGGGAAACCCUGAAGCAGCAACGCCGCGUGGAGGAUGAAGGUUUUCGGAUUGUAAACUCCUUUUGUUAGAGAAGAUAAUGACGGUAUCUAACGAAUAAGCACUGGCUAACUCCGUGCCAGCAGCCGCGGUAAUACGGAGGGUGCAAGCGUUACUCGGAAUCACUGGGCGGAAAGAGCGCGUAGGCGGGAUAGCAAGUCAGAUGUGAAAUCCUAUGGCUUAACCAUAGAACUGCAUUUGAAACUGUUAUUCUAGAGUAUGGGAGAGGUAGGUGGAAUUCUUGGUGUAGGGGUAAAAUCCGUAGAUAUCAAGAGGAAUACUCAUUGCGAAGGCGACCUGCUAGAACAUAACUGACGCUGAUGCGCGAAAGCGUGGGGAGCAAACAGGAUUAGAUACCCCAGUAGUC